rnacentral:lncRNA from 1 species
AGGAAAAUGGAUAGAAGAGAAAGGAGUAAAAAGCCAGGUUGAGGGCUCUCUUAUCUUUUCCUGCUAUUCUCCACCAAUGUAGAGACAGCCUGAUGCUGGGUCCUGGGCAGCCUACUUGAAAGGAAGAGUGUCAUCAAUGGAUAAAUGGAGCCAAAAUGAAUGGAAGUGAACAAGAAUGUGUUGACCAAGAAUCCUGAUGGUGGUUACUUGCCAGACUACUGCACACACCCCAACUGGCACCUAAUGGAAUGGAGAGAAAGGGCAACUUCAUUUCUGACUCCUCUGGCUUUGGCUGAAAAUCAAGAUGCUGUAAUAGCACGAGUCUUAGACAAACUUAGACAAGACCAUGCUUUACCCUGUGGACUUCCCCAGUAAUCUUCAAGCGGCGUCCUGUAUAACUUAUUUUUAAAACUUUAACAAAUGGCUGCAGUGAACUUAUAAUGACUAAAUAUAACUGAAAGGAGGCUUAAGAAUUCUGAAGGACAAAGAAAACGUAACAUAACUUGAAUCUUCUGCUUACAAUCUUUUCAGGUUAGUUUCCGUUUUGUUUCUUGAAAUAACAUCAAAGAAGGUUUCCUAGAAAAGAAAACAAUAAAGCUGAGCCUAGAAGGAUGACAAAGAU